GACUCAUCCUGGGAUGAGGUCCCAAAUGCAUUUAAAGCAGACUCUGAUGUUUCCUGCAACAAGCCGAUCAAGAGCUCAGUGAGACGAGAGCUCGGGGAUGGACAUCAUUUAAAGUUUUGUCUGACAAACUCAGUUGGCUCCUGGUGCCAAAGUUACCACAUAAUCAUCCCACCUACAGUCCAGUACUCUAUAGGUAAACAACCUCAGGAUAUCAUAUUCCUGCUGAAAGCAGGCAAUAUAACUCUCUUUCUCGUUCUGGUAGUAGUCAUCACAGUGCUCAUAUUCUUCAUCAAAAAGAAGAAUUUCAGAUCAACGGGGGAGAGUCUGGAGCUACAAGAGUCUCGGGUGAGUGUGUGUUCACCGAACGAGAACGGUCUUCUGCUAGAGAAAAACAGUCUCCGCCCCUCCUUGAUUAUGAACCCAACACACCUGUGAGGUCCCGGAGGCCAAUAAGAGUGAUGGGAGACGAGAGAGAAGAGACUGAUGGUGGAGUGAGGACUGGGAGAGUGAACGGUAUCAGGCGGUGGCGGCGGCCACAAGCCCAGACGGGCUGGUGCCGGUUGGUUUGCCACAGGAAAGCGGUGGCAGAGUUGAGAGCUCUGCCCAUUCGGGAAACCGGAACAGAAACAUUGAUAGGGCGGCGAGACGCCGCCGGGUUUUCCCUUCUAAGGCGGCUAGAGUUGGCUAAUGCAGGCACCAGCGCGGAGAGCACCAGCAGGAGGACCAGCGCGCAGAGGCACCAGCGCGCAGAGAGCGACAGUACCAGCGCAGAGAGCGACAGUACCAGCGCGGAGAGCGGAGACAGCA